rnacentral:rRNA from 1 species
UCCAGACUCCUACGGGAGGCAGCAGUGGGGGAUAUUGCACAAUGGGGGGAACCCUGAUGCAGCGACGCCGCGUGGGUGAAGGAGUGCUUCGGCAUGUAAAGCCCUAUCGGCAGGGAAGAAGCAAGACGGUACCUGACUAAGAAGCCCCGGCUAACUACGUGCCAGCAGCCGCGGUAAUACGUAUGGGGCAAGCGUUAUCCGGAUUUACUGGGUGUAAAGGGAGCGUAGGCGGCAGGGCAAGCCUGAUGUGAAAGCCCGGGGCUCAACCCCGGGACUGCAUUUGGAACUGUGUGGCUGGAGUGUCGGAGAGGCAGGCGGAAUUCCUAGUGUAGCGGUGAAAUGCGUAGAUAUUAGGAGGAACACCAGUGGCGAAGGCGGCCUGCUGGACGAUGACUGACGUUGAGGCUCGAAAGCGUGGGGAGCAAACAGGAUUAGAUACCCUAGUAGA